AAAAAUUCGUUGGCUCGAGCGGGAUUUGAACUCGCAUCUUCGGGUAUCUAGACCGCAUCUCUACCCAUUAAUUAGCUAUCAAGUCAACGGGGAUUGGUACGUAGCGAGUCUUAACCAAUUUAAUUAAGUGCACGAAAUAUUUUCGUGACGACUAACGCUUGUAGAUAUCCGAAGAUGCGAGUUCAAAUCCCGCCCGAGCCAACGAAUUUUU